CAAGAUUACAGAAGCGUCGUAAAACAUUAGCAGUACAACGUAUAAAACAAAUGCACGGCACACAAAAUAAAUGAAAUAAUACCGAGCUUCAGUUCGCUGUGAAACAUUAAUGCGACACAACGUAAAUCAUUAUGUCCCAAGAAAUAAAUGAAGAUGCUGCAAAUAUGCAACAGUUGAUGCAACAACUGUUGCAUCAACAAAAAUUGCAGGAAGAGAGGCAACAACUGUUGCAUCAACAAUUGCAAUAUAUACAAGAACAACAGCAGCAGCAGCAGCGGUAGCUGCUGCAAGAGAAAAAUGAUAUUCAUAAAAAAAGAGCAGGAGGCCGAACCCGCGCCCGUUGGUACCAUCAAGCAUGCCACCAGCGUGGUGGCCGAGGACGAGGCGGCCCUGGCGGCCGAGGAAGAGGCGGCCGUGAAAAUACGUG